rnacentral:rRNA from 1 species
GUGGGGAAUAUUGCACAAUGGGGGAAACCCUGAUGCAGCAACGCCGCGUGAAGGAAGACGGUUUUCGGAUUGUAAACUUCUGUUCUUAGUGAAGAAUAAUGACGGUAGCUAAGGAGCAAGCCACGGCUAACUACGUGCCAGCAGCCGCGGUAAUACGUAGGUGGCAAGCGUUGUCCGGAAUUACUGGGUGUAAAGGGAGCGUAGGCGGGAUGCCAAGUCAGCUGUGAAAACUAUGGGCUUAACCUGUAGACUGCAGUUGAAACUGGUAUUCUUGAGUGAAGUAGAGGUUGGUGGAAUUCCGAGUGUAGCGGUGAAAUGCGUAGAUAUUCGGAGGAACACCGGUGGCGAAGGCGGCCAACUGGGCUUUAACUGACGCUGAGGCUCGAAAGUGUGGGGAGCGAACAGGAUUAGAAACCCCGGUAGUCC